AGCCGAGCUUGAGCGAGCUGACCGUAGCUCAAGUUUGAAUUGAAAUUAAUUUCGAGUCUAAAUUUAGGCUCAAGCUCAGCUCGAAGUUAAUUCAAGCGGAGCUUGAGCGAGUCAAACUUCAAGUCCAGUGAGUUCGAGCGCUUAACGAGCUGUUUGAAAUUCUUAAUAUUGUACAAUUUAUAAUUUAAUUUUUAUAAAAUAUUAUCUAAAUUCGAUAUAAAAAUUAUCUAAUAGUUUAAUAUACAAAAUAAAUGCAUGAAAUACAAUAUUAUAAUAUUAAAAAAAUUAGAAAAAGCGACUCUGCGAGCAAGUGAAACAGAGAGAGCAAUCAGAAUAGGAUUUUACUGUCUUGGUUUUGGAGCCCAAUAACCUAAACUCUAUAUAUAUACAUAUAAUUAAAAAAUAUAUAUAAUAUAUAUUAUUAUAUAUAAUUAAUAUAUAUAGAGAGUAGAGUUACUAUCAUUUUAUAAGUAUAGAGCCCUUCGUACUUAUAAGUUAUUUUGGACGAUGGAGCUUCAAAUCGACGAUCCACUCUGUUAAAUAUGAUUUAGAGUAUUUGAAACUUCUAAAAAAUAAAUUUUGUAAUUUUUCGAAAUCAUAAUAAAGUCUAUCAAGAGAGCAUAAUUGAGCGGUCAAAAUCGAACGAUAUCUUAAAAAUGAAUUAUCGAAUUUUUCAAUUUAAGAUCGAAAUUAUUGAUCUUUAUUUAGACAGUGAAUAAAAUUUUAUAUCAAAAAUUCAAUCUAUUCCGAUUCUUUUACACCGUUAAAUUAGAAAAUAUCCCAUAUCGGCCGUUAAAAAUUAUCAAUUUUGUGACCCUUUGAUUGUAAGGUAAAUGAUGUCAAAAAAUUAUGAAAUUUGAUUUCUAAAAGUUUUAAAUGCUCUAAAUAAUAUUUAAUAAUAUGGAUCAUCGAUUUGGAAGCUCUAUUGUCGAAAAAAACUUAUGAGUACAAGGGCGAUCGUACUCAUAAGAGUAUAGUAGUCGGAUUCUCUCUCUCUCUCUCUCUCUCUCUCUCUAUAUAUAUAUAUAUAUAUCUAUUAACCUAUAUGAUUUUCUAAUAAUUUUGUCACGUGGAAAAUUUUCCUUCACCCUCACUAGCCAUUUUUUUGAACAAAUUUUUACUCUUGGCUUUUUCCCUCCCAUUCUCUCUAUUCAAUGACCUAUAAUCAAUGUGUUUUUUAAUUUAUACGUUACUGAGUUUUUUCUCUUCAAUAUUAGUUCUUUCUUUUCCCUCAAAUAAUUUCUAACAUGUAAAAUUAAAAGAGGAGAAAAUAAAUAGUUACUACUUUCAGAUGUAGAGAUUGGGGAAGAGUAAGGGAGUUCUCUAAGCCCUAAUCCGUACCAACCCGACUUGAUCCGCCCCCUUCCCUCCCAAUCAAAAGAGUGCUUCUAAGGUUAUAUUGGUUAGUUCAAUUCAUAAAUUUUCCUACAAAAAAAAACACACUUAGAAUUUUUAUUUUUCAAACUCCUUUCUUCUUCCUCUUCAAUAUUUUUUAUUUUUUCUUCUAUUAUUUAUCCGCCGCAUCGCGCAGAUUACUACACUAGUAUAUAAUUAAGCUACUACUAUUAACAAUACCAAGCAUUUUCUACUAUAAUUUAGCCCUUGGAUGAAGAGUUGUGCAGUUAGGAUGAUAGUGGUUCUCUAAAAUUGAGUAAGUAGUUAGUUGAAAAGUCCUUUAAG
rnacentral:lncRNA from 1 species